UAAGGAAUAUUGGUCAAUGGACGCAAGUCUGAACCAGCCAUGCCGCGUGAAGGAUGAAGGUCCUCUGGAUUGUAAACUCCUUUUAUCUGGGACGAAAACGGGAUUUUUAUCUCAAUUGACGGUACCAGAGGAAUAAGCACCGGCUAACUCCGUGCCAGCAGCCGCGGUAAUACGGAGGGUGCGAGCGUUAUCCGGAUUUACUGGGUUUAAAGGGUGCGUAGGUGGGCUUAUAAGUCAGUGGUGAAAUCUCCGAGCUUAACUUGGAAACUGCCGUUGAUACUAUAGGUCUUGAAUUAUCUGGAGGUAAGCGGAAUAUGUCAUGUAGCGGUGAAAUGCUUAGAUAUGACAUAGAACACCAAUUGCGAAGGCAGCUUACUACAUAUAAAUUGACGCUGAGGCACGAAAGCGUGGGGAUCAAACA
rnacentral:rRNA from 1 species